rnacentral:rRNA from 1 species
UACGGGGGGAGCAAGCGUUGUUCGGAUUUACUGGGCGUAAAGGGCGCGUAGGCGGUCAGCACAAGUCAAUUGUGAAAUCUCCGAGCUUAACUCGGAAAGGUCAACUGAUACUGUGCGACUAGAGUGCGGAAGGGGCAACUGGAAUUCUCGGUGUAGCGGUGAAAUGCGUAGAUAUCGAGAGGAACACCUGCGGCGAAGGCGGGUUGCUGGGCCGACACUGACGCUGAUGCGCGAAAGCCAGGGGAGCGAACGGG